rnacentral:lncRNA from 1 species
AUGGCGCAUCACGGUGCACGCUCUGCAAACGUGAGCUGCACUGCCGAGCUGCUCAAGCACGUCUCUGCUGCAGGUCACGGCGUUUCUUCUUUGGCUUCUCGUGGCCCCGGGGCUGAGCCACAGCAGAGCCCUGGCAGAGCCCAGAGCAGCCUCAGCAUCCACAGAGCCCGGCUGCAAGGAGACAAAGCAGAAAGCGCCCGUCGGCUGAAGGCUCCCAUUCCCCUUGUCCCAGCCGCCCGCGGUGCCCAGGCCGUGCUGGCCGUGCUCAGAGCGCUGCCCAAAGCUGCCCAGCAUUGCUGCCUCUGGCAGCAGAGCAGGAGGGCAGGACACGUGCCCAGCCUGCAGCCGGCCGUGGCACAGCCACCUCCUCAGCAGCUGCCCAGAGCGGGAUGCUGCUGCGCUCGCUGCCGUCUCCCAAAAGCCCUUAUCCCAGCCGUGCCAAGAGGACGGGCACCCACCGCACGCCUCCCGCCGCCAGAAGAAAAGCUGCUCCCAAACGCUGUCCUCAGCCUUCUCCAAGGGCACGUCCCACCCACGCCGCAGCUGCUCCCAAGCACUUCGCCAUCCGGACCCGACAGCACCUAGAACGCUUCCUUUGGAAAAACAAACCAUAAAUCAAUGAAAAGAGAUUACAGACAAAAAGGGGAAACAAGGAAAAAGGUAAAAAAUCUUCUCUCUGCUGGGGCCUUGAGGAAGGCCCAAGCCCGCCAUGCGAGGGAAAAACCCACCCACGGGCCAGGGCAGCGCACGCUUUCUCCCUUCCCCCUGCACUGCCCCCAAAAGUCAUGCUGAGCCCAAAGCCAACAAGGGCAGUGGAGUAGCCCAAGCCCUUCCUUGCCUGCAGAGCAAAGCAGCCCAUGCACAGCUUCUGGUGUCCAACCUCUGCUCCCACCAUGGGGCUUGCUUUGUGUCGCGCCGGCUGCCCCAGCCCCAAUGUGGGGCACGGUGGGUGCUGGGGGCUGUUGGCAGGGCCAGGAGCAGACUCCCAGUUCAAAACCAGCCCAGCCUAUCCCCCCAGCCCUGCCAAAAAGCAGCUUGGCAGCCGACUGAAGAAUUGGUUGCAUCCGCCCCAGCAAAGGGGGGAACCUUUGCUUCCCGGCCAGGCUGUGCAAUGCACAAAUCUGGGAGCAGCCCCCUGCGUGUGGACUCAUCUGCAAAUUCGCCGUGGAGCCUGGCUUUGGAGAAGGUGCCACAAUUGAAGUCCAUCAUCUUCAGCUUGCCAGGUGGAGGAAGAGCUUGUCAUCGUUGAUGUCACCCUCCAUGUCUCCAGCAGCAGCAGCCGCACCUGGCACAGCUUCUCCAGGGGCUCCUUCUUCCCUGGGGCUGGAGCAGGCUGUCAGUGCUCUGCCCAGGGCCCCGGCUGUUGCUGAAGCAGGACAAGCAAAAGCAGCUGCCAUGGGGGCCACCAGUGCUGGGAAGAGCAGCUCAGCUCCAGCAGCAGGGCUGCGCGUGCCCAG